rnacentral:rRNA from 1 species
UUGAUGGGUAGGGGAGCGUCGUCUGCCGGGUGAAGCAGCACCGGAAGGUAGUUGUGGACGGUUGACGAGUGAGAAUGCAGGCAUGAGUAGCGAUACAAACGUGAGAAACGUUUGCGCCGAUUGACUAAGGGUUCCUGGGUCAAGCUGAUCUGCCCAGGGUAAGUCGGGACCUAAGGCGAGGCCGACAGGCGUAGUCGAUGGAUAACCGGUUGAUAUUCCGGUACCCGCUGUGAAGCGUCAAACAUCGAGCAUCGUGAUGCUAAGGCCGUGAAGCCGCCCUGAUCUCUUCGGAGUUGAGGGGAGUGGUGGAGCCGCCGAACCAAGCGGUUAGUAGGUGAGUGAUGGGGUGACGCAGGAAGGUAGUCCAUCCCGGGCGGUGGUUGUCCCGGGGUAAGGGUGUAGGACGCAAGGUAGGCAAAUCCGCCUUGCACAUAGUCUGAGACCUGAUGCCGAGCCGAUUGUGGUGAAGUGGAUGAUCCUAUGCUGUCGAGAAAAGCCUCUAGCGAGUUUCAUGGCGGCCCGUACCCUAAACCGACUCAGGUGGUCAGGUAGAGAAUACCGAGGCGUUCGGGUGAACUAUGGUUAAGGAACUCGGCAAAAUGCCCCCGUAACUUCGGGAGAAGGGGGGCCACACUCGGUGAUCGGAUUUACUCCGUGAGCUGGGGGUGGCCGCAGAGACCAGCGAGAAGCGACUGUUUACUAAAAACACAGGUCCGUGCGAAGCCGUAAGGCGAUGUAUACGGACUGACGCCUGCCCGGUGCUGGAACGUUAAGGGGACCGGUUAGCUUGGAUUCGUCCAGGCGAAGCUGAGAACUUAAGCGCCAGUAAACGGCGGUGGUAACUAUAACCAUCCUAAGGUAGCGAAAUUCCUUGUCGGGUAAGUUCCGACCUGCACGAAUGGCGUAACGACUUCUCGACUGUCUCAACCAUAGGCCCGGUGAAAUUGCACUACGAGUAAAGAUGCUCGUUUCGCGCAGCAGGACGGAAAGACCCCGGGACCUUUACUACAGUUUGAUAUUGGUGUUCGGUUCGGCUUGUGUAGGAUAGCUGGGAGACUUUGAAGCUCAUACGCCAGUAUGGGUGGAGUCGUCGUUGAAAUACCAGUCUGGUCGUGCUGGAUGUCUAACCUGGGUCCGUGAUCCGGAUCAGGGACAGUGUCUGAUGGGUAGUUUAACUGGGGCGGUUGCCUCCUAAAGAGUAACGGAGGCGCCCAAAGGUUCCCUCAGCCUGGUUGGCAAUCAGGUGUUGAGUGUAAGUGCACAAGGGAGCUUGACUGUGAGACCGACGGGUCGAGCAGGGACGAAAGUCGGGACUAGUGAUCCGGCGGUGGCUUGUGGAAGCGCCGUCGCUCAACGGAUAAAAGGUACCCCGGGGAUAACAGGCUGAUCUUCCCCAAGAGUCCAUAUCGACGGGAUGGUUUGGCACCUCGAUGUCGGCUCGUCGCAUCCUGGGGCUGGAGUCGGUCCCAAGGGUUGGGCUGUUCGCCCAUUAAAGCGGUACGCGAGCUGGGUUUAGAACGUCGUGAGACAGUUCGGUCCCUAUCCGCUGUGCGCGUAGGAGUCUUGAGAAGGGCUGUCCCUAGUACGAGAGGACCGGGACGGACGAACCUCUGGUGUGCCAGUUGUCCUGCCAAGGGCAUGGCUGGUUGGCUACGUUCGGGAGGGAUAACCGCUGAAAGCAUCUAAGCGGGAAGCCUGCUUCGAGAUGAGGACUCCCACCCACUUGAUGGGGUAAGGCUCCCAGUAGACGACUGGGUUGAUAGGCCGGAUCUGGAAGCCAGGUAACUGGUGGAGGUGACCGGUACUAAUAGGCCGAGGGCUUGUCCUCAGUUGCUCGCGUCCACUGUGUU